CCUACGGGAGGCAGCAGUGGGGAAUCUUGCGCAAUGGGCGAAAGCCUGACGCAGCAACGCCGCGUGCGGGAUGAAGGCCCUCGGGUUGUAAACCGCUUUCAGCAGGGACGAAACCGACGGUACCUGCAGAAGAAGCCCCGGCCAACUACGUGCCAGCAGCCGCGGUAACACGUAGGGGGCAAGCGUUGUCCGGAUUUAUUGGGCGUAAAGAGCUCGUAGGCGGCUCGGUAAGUCAGGUGUGAAACCUCUGGGCUCAACCCAGAGAGGCCACCUGAUACUGCUGUGGCUAGAGUCCGGUAGGGGAGCGUGGAAUUCCUGGUGUAGCGGUGAAAUGCGCAGAUAUCAGGAGGAACACCAGCGGCGAAGGCGGCGCUCUGGGCCGGAACUGACGCUGAGGAGCGAAAGCGUGGGGAGCGAACAGGAUUAGAUACCCUAGUAGU
rnacentral:rRNA from 1 species